rnacentral:rRNA from 1 species
GACGAACGCUGGCGGCGUGCUUAACACAUGCAAGUCGAACGGAAAGGCCCUGCUUUUGUGGGGUGCUCGAGUGGCGAACGGGUAAGUAACACGUGAGUAACCUGCCCUUGACUUUGGGAUAACUUCAGGAAACUGGGGCUAAUACCGGAUAGGAGCUCCUGCUGCAUGGUGGGGGUUGGAAAGUUUCGGCGGUUGGGGAUGUACUCGCGGCGUAUCAGCUUGUUGGUGGGGUAGUGGCUUACCAAGGCUUUGACGGGUAGCCGGCAGGAGAGGGUGACCGGCCACAUUGGGACUGAGAUACGGCCCAGACUCCUACGGGAGGCAGCAGUGGGGAGUAUUGCACAACGGGGGGAAGCGUGAUGCAGAAACGCCGCGUGCGGGAUGACGGCCUUCGGGUUGCAAAACGCUUUCGCCUGUGACGAAGCGUGAGUGACGGUAAUGGGUAAAGAAGCACCGGCUAACUACGUG